UAGGGAAUCUUCCGCAAUGGGCGAAAGCCUGACGGAGCAACGCCGCGUGAGUGAUGAAGGUCUUCGGAUCGUAAAACUCUGUUAUUAGGGAAGAACAAAUGUGUAAGUAACUAUGCACGUCUUGACGGUACCUAAUCAGAAAGCCACGGCUAACUACGUGCCAGCAGCCGCGGUAAUACGUAGGUGGCAAGCGUUAUCCGGAAUUAUUGGGCGUAAAGCGCGCGUAGGCGGUUUUUUAAGUCUGAUGUGAAAGCCCACGGCUCAACCGUGGAGGGUCGUUGGAAACUGGAAAACUUGAGUGCAGAAGAGGAAAGUGGAAUUCCAUGUGUGGCGGUGAAAUGCGCAGAGAUAUGGAGGAACACCAGUGGCGAAGGCGACUUUCUGGUCUGUAACUGACGCUGAUGUGCGAAAGCGUGGGGAUCAAACAGG
rnacentral:rRNA from 1 species